rnacentral:rRNA from 1 species
AAGGUGUAUUGAGAAGUAUGCUGGAGGUAUCAGAAGUGCGAAUGCUGACGUGAGUAACGACAAAACGGGUGAAAAACCCGUUCGCCGAAAGACCAAGGGUUCCAGUCCAACGUUAAUCGGGGCUGGGUGAGUCGACCCCUAAGGCGAGGCCGAAAGGCGUAGUCGAUGGGAAAAUGGUUAAUAUUCCAUUACUUCUGUGUAAUGCGAUGAGAGGACGGAGAAGGCUAAAUCAGCCUGGCGUUGGUUGUCCAGGUGAAAGGAUGUAGGCAUGUAUCUUAGGCAAAUCCGGGGUACUCUAUGCUGAGAUCUGAUAGCAAGCUGUACUUGUACAGCGAAGUGGUUGAUGCCAUGCUUCCAGGAAAAGUCUCUAAGCUUCAGUUACACAGGAAUCGUACCCGAAACCGACACAGGUGGUCAGGUCGAGUAGACCAAGGCGCUUGAGAGAACUCUGCUGAAGGAACUAGGCAAAAUGGUACCGUAACUUCGGGAGAAGGUACGCUGUUGUUGGUGAUGGAACUCGCUUCCUGAGCUGACGACAGCCGCAGAAACCAGGCCGCUGCAACUGUUUAUUAAAAACAUAGCACUCUGCAAACACGAAAGUGGACGUAUAGGGUGUGAUGCCUGCCCGGUGCUGGAAGGUUAAUUGAUGGGGUUAGCGUAAGCGAAGCUCUUGAUCGAAGCCCCAGUAAACGGCGGCCGUAACUAUAACGGUCCUAAGGUAGCGAAAUUCCUUGUCGGGUAAGUUCCGACCUGCACGAAUGGCAUAAUGAUGGCGGCGCUGUCUCCAGCAGAGGCUCAGUGAAAUCGAAAUCGCUGUGAAGAUGCAGUGUACCCGCGGCUAGACGGAAAGACCCCGUGAACCUUUACUGCAGCUUGACACUGAACUUUGACCUUACUUGUGUAGGAUAGGUGGGAGGCUUUGAAGCUGGAACGCUAGUUCCAGUGGAGCCGUCCUUGAAAUACCACCCUGGUAAUGUUGAGGUUCUAACUCUGUCCCGUGAUCCGGGACGAGGACCGUGUCUGGUGGGUAGUUUGACUGGGGCGGUCUCCUCCUAAAGAGUAACGGAGGAGUACGAAGGUGCGCUCAGCGUGGUCGGAAAUCACGCGUAGAGUAUAAAGGCAAAAGCGCGCUUAACUGCGAGACCCACAAGUCGAGCAGGUACGAAAGUAGGUCUUAGUGAUCCGGUGGUUCUGUAUGGAAGGGCCAUCGCUCAACGGAUAAAAGGUACUCUGGGGAUAACAGGCUGAUACCGCCCAAGAGUUCAUAUCGACGGCGGUGUUUGGCACCUCGAUGUCGGCUCAUCUCAUCCUGGGGCUGAAGCAGGUCCCAAGGGUAUGGCUGUUCGCCAUUUAAAGAGGUACGCGAGCUGGGUUUAGAACGUCGUGAGACAGUUCGGUCCCUAUCUACCGUGGGCGCUGGAAAUUUGAGAGGAUCUGCUCCUAGUACGAGAGGACCAGAGUGGACGAACCUCUGGUGUACCGGUUGUGACGCCAGUCGCAUCGCCGGGUAGCUAUGUUCGGAAGGGAUAACCGCUGAAAGCAUCUAAGCGGGAAGCCUACCUCAAGAUAAGAUUUCCCUAGGACUUUAUGUCCUCUAAAGAGCCGUUCGAGACUAGGACGUUGAUAGGUUGGAUGUGGAAGCAUAGUGAUAUGUGAAGCUGACCAAUACUAAUUGCUCGUGAGGCUUGACUA